GUGGGGAAUCUUAGACAAUGGGGGAAACCCUGAUCUAGCCAUGCCGCGUGAGCGAUGAAGGCCUUAGGGUUGUAAAGCUCUUUCAGUGGGGAAGAUAAUGACGGUACCCACAGAAGAAGCCCCGGCUAACUCCGUGCCAGCAGCCGCGGUAAUACGGAGGGGGCUAGCGUUGUUCGGAAUUACUGGGCGUAAAGCGCACGUAGGCGGAUCAGAAAGUCAGAGGUGAAAUCCCAGGGCUCAACCUUGGAACUGCCUUUGAAACUCCUGAUCUUGAGGUCGAGAGAGGUGAGUGGAAUUCCGAGUGUAGAGGUGAAAUUCGUAGAUAUUCGGAGGAACACCAGUGGCGAAGGCGGCUCACUGGCUCGAUACUGACGCUGAGGUGCGAAAGCGUGGGGAGCAAACAGGAUUAGAAACCCGUGUAGUCC
rnacentral:rRNA from 1 species